GACCGCGACCGUACCAUGUUAGAAACAGCAGUUCUUUUUUGAUCACCGAAGGGAAGUAAUAUUGGGACACUUUGGUGCCAACUGGGAAUACCGUGCGGUGCGGCCC
rnacentral:rRNA from 1 species